UGCUUUAUGCUAAUCUAUAUAAAGUAAAUAUCCUGCCCAAUGUAUCUAUAAACGGCCGCGGUAUCCUAACCGUGCAAAGGUAGCAUAAUAAUUUGCCCAUUAAUUGUGGGCUAGAAUGAACGGAAUAACGAAAUAAGAACUAUUUCAAUAAUACAACAAUAAACUAUUCUAAAAGUGAAGAAACUUUUAUAUCAAUAACGGACAAGAAGACCCUAUAGAGCUUUAUCUUAACUAAUACUUUAUUACAACAGAUUCGGUUGGGGCGACCUAGGAUAAAUCAUCCUUUUUCAUAAAGACUUAUUAAUCUACUCUAUGAUCCUAAUAUAGAUCAAGAAAUCAAGCUACCUUAGGGAUAACAGGCUAAUUUCAUUAUAGAGCUCCUAUCAACAAUGAAGAUUGGCACCUCGAUGUUGGCUUAGGUAAUUCUUUUUGGCGCAGAUGUCACCAAAGAAGGUU
rnacentral:rRNA from 1 species